ensembl:lncRNA
AUUUAUUAUUACCUCUCUAUUGUUUACUUGUCUGUUUGUUCCCUUUAUGAAUUACCAGUUUCAGAUAAACAGCCCCAGCUAAGCCAAAAACAUGCUUCCAGUAUACAGUUAUCUGGCUAAGGAGUCACAAGGGAUAUCUGUGAGGUGAUCUGGGGAGUAGAAAUAAACUGAGCAUUGACCUUUUGGCUGUGGCACCAAACAUAUUCAGUAUCUCAGCUUAGCUUUGAGCUUGAUCAGCUGUGCAUUCACAGGAGGUGUUGGCAGAACGAAGCCGUGAUCCGACAUGUUGAGAAGCUACACUGAAAGGCAAAGGAUGCAAACUAACUGGCAUCUAACCAGUUCAUGAUGAACACGUAGAACUUUGGAUUUUUACCAUAUCUGCGUGUAGAAUCCUUUCUGCAUCGAUACCACCUCCCUUGGAAAUGUGUGAUAGCAUCAAAAGUAUGCUUGCUGUAAGCUCCUCACCAAUGCCAGCUUCCUCUUGCAGAAGGUUGUGUUGCCUGUUCCCCUCCACGUGUUCAAGAAACACAAGAUUCCACCCAAAUACCCUAGUUCCCCUGCUUCAGAAAUGCUGGUAAGAAGAGGAGGGCAGCACCAGCCUCACAUCAUUUCUGCUUCCUACCAUCCUUUGGCACACAGAGAAAUUCACAUUAGUACCCAGUACUCCCCAGUCUGGAUGCACUCUGUGAGAGUAUGCCUGUCUCCUACAUGAUUUGGCAGUUUUAUGCUCUCCUCCAUUUUCUCUAUUUUAACCAAUUUCCCUAUAAAACACACUAUCAAGUGCCUGCCCUCCUGAAGUCCGGAUAAAUGAAUUCUACUGCAUUUCUGUAGUCUGCAAAACCAGUCGUUGUCAAGGAAAAAGAUAUUAGUCUGGAGUAAUUUAACUUUGCAGUUCCCAAUUUUCAUAGCUGGUUUAAAAAAUCAGAAAUUAGAUUUGUAUAUAAGUUUAUUUUCUGCUGAGACUGAAGAAUGUGUCCAUUGAUUUACAUGGCAAUACACUGAUGCUCUACUUAAGAGUAGCUACUAACAACAACAAAAAAAAAAAAUGGAAAACUAAACUCUAAUCCAAUGACUAGCAACGUGCAAGAUUUAUGUGUUUGCAUAGGGUAAAGCUAUUCCAAAUCCACAAUGCUAUGAAACAUAAGCAUAGGAACUGAAAAGUUAAAUGAAGGCCUGCCUUCAAGUGCCUAGGAUGGUUUAGGCCAAUGACUAAAGCUUGGAUAUCAUACAACCAUAGAAUGGUUUGAAGAGGACUUAAAGGUCACCCAGUUUCAACUGCCUGCCAUGAACAGGGACAUUUCCCACUACAGUAGGCUGCCCAAAGCCCCAUCAAAC